AACAGGCUAAUUUGCGCAAGAGAGUACAAAUUGAGUGCGCGGUUUGGCACCUCGAUGUCGGCUUAGCUCAUCCUCAUGCAUGCAGAAAUCAUGAAGGGUUCGACUGUUCGUCGAUUAAAGAGCUACACGAGUUAGCGCAGACCAAUGAUUGAGC
rnacentral:ncRNA from 1 species